CCUACGGGAGGCAGCAGUGAGGAAUAUUGGUCAAUGGACGAGAGUCUGAACCAGCCAAGUAGCGUGAAGGAUGACUGCCCUAUGGGUUGUAAACUUCUUUUAUAAAGGAAUAAAACGAGGCACGUGUGCCUUUUUGCAUGUACUUUAUGAAUAAGGAUCGGCUAACUCCGUGCCAGCAGCCGCGGUAAUACGGAGGAUCCGAGCGUUAUCCGGAUUUAUUGGGUUUAAAGGAAGCGUAGAUGGGUUGUUAAGUCAGUUGUGAAAGUUUGCGGCUCAACCGUAAAAUUGCAAUUGAUACUGGCAGUCGUGAGUACAGUUGAGGUAGGCGGAAUGCGUGGUGUAGCGGUGAAAUGCUUAGAUAUCACGAAGAACCCCGAUUGCGAAGGCAGCUUACUAAACUGUGACUGACAUUGAUGCUCGAAAGUGUGGGUAUCAAACAGGAUUAGAUACCCCAGUAGUC
rnacentral:rRNA from 1 species